AUGGUGGUAAGCUCCACAGCGUCCUAGACGCCAAUCACGUAUUAUCCUCGAUUUUCUCAAGCACCAAACGGUAUUAUCCUUGAUUUUAAUCUGAGAUUUAACUUUAGUGCGCCGAUUUCGGCGCACUAAAAAUAAAUCUCGGAUUAACAAAACUGGCUGCGUGCGGAAAUAAAUUGGCACGCAUACUACGCCAUCAUGUUGGGAAACGUCAAACAGGGAAAACAGCAACAAACCAAACAAAGGAAAUCAGCAACAAUCUUCGGUGAUUUUUUUUUGUAAAUCCGCCCAGCUGCAGGUAUUACAGAUGGCCUGGAAGUUCUCAUGAUCAAACUGUUUUCAGUUUGUCGCAAUUGAGGGCAGAAUUUGAAAGAGGAUUGUAUGGGACCAACAUAAUACUCGGAGAUUCAGGAUACCGUUGUACUCCCUACCUGGUAACACCGCUACUGAACCCUACUACGGAAGCUGAAAAGAAAUUUCAGAAGGGCUUCAUCCGAACGAGAAACAUAGUGGAACGUGUGUUUGGAGCCUGGAAGAGGAGAUUUCCAAUCGUUGGAAUGAAACUGAGACUCAAUACCGAAGAGGCACUGGUUGUGAUAAUUGCCACCGCAGUAUUGCACAAUGUGUGCAUAAGAACUAACCUGCCACCACCUAUACCUUAUGAGGAGCUGAUUCAACCGAACGAUGUCUAUAAUGGACUAAACAACCAAGCACGCACACGCAACGCAAUAAUCGAGAAUUAUUUUAACUAAUAUUUAUAUGAACAGACAAGUGAACGAUAGAAAAAUCUAUCGAUGUUGAACACAAUUACGAAAGCAUCGUCCAUUGUUAAAAAAACCUAUACUUUAUCAAUCCAUCAUUUAAAUCAACCGCUGAGCAAUAACGUGUGUGUGUGUGUGUGUGUGUGUGUGUGUGUGUGUGUGUGUGUGUGUGUGUGUGUGUGUGUGUGUGUGUGUGUGUGUGUGUGUGUGUGUGUGUGUGUGUGUGUGUGUGUGUGUGUGUGUGUGUGUGUGUGUGUGUGUGUGUGUGUGUGUGUGUGUGUGUGUGUGUGUGUGUGUGUGUGUGUGUGUGUGUGUGUGUGUGUGUGUGUUUCGCGUUGCGCCACAUUCAUUGUCAGCUGAAUGCUUCUCUUUUUUCAUUCAAUUUUCUGCAUACAUUUAUUGUGAACUUUUGAUUUUUGUACCUACAUUUAAUAAUGAAAAACAUUUAAAUGAAAUGAAAAUGAAUAAUAAAUGAACAUCGAAGAACAUGAAAAUACAUUUAAUUUAUCAUACAAUUUAUGUACAUUUUGUAUACAUUUUAGGUGUUGGGUUCGUGAGUGCAAACUUUUUAAAAGGGUGAUCGAGGACCACUAAAGGUGAAAA